rnacentral:Y_RNA from 1 species
AGCUGAUCCCAAGGUAGUGAGUUAUCCCAGCUGGUUGUUCAGUCAGUGACAGAUCAAACUCCUUGUUCUACUCUUUCCCUCUUCUCACUACUGCACUCAACUAGUCUAAA